rnacentral:rRNA from 1 species
UCGAGCGAGCGGAACCACAGAUUGUACUUCGGUAAUGACGUUGGGAAAGCGAGCGGCGGAUGGGUGAGUAACACGUGGGGAACCUGCCCCUAAGUCUGGGAUACCAUUUGGAAACAGGUGCUAAUACCGGAUAAUAAAGCGGAUCGCAUGAUCAGCUUUUGAAAGGCGGCGUAAGCUGUCGCUAAGGGAUGGCCCCGCGGUGCAUUAGCUAGUUGGUAAGGUAACGGCUUACCAAGGCGACGAUGCAUAGCCGAGUUGAGAGACUGAUCGGCCACAUUGGGACUGAGACACGGCCCAAACUCCUACGGGAGGCAGCAGUAGGGAAUCUUCCACAAUGGACGCAAGUCUGAUGGAGCAACGCCGCGUGAGUGAAGAAGGUUUUCGGAUCGUAAAGCUCUGUUGUUGGUGAAGAAGGAUAGAGGUAGUAACUGGCCUUUAUUUGACGGUAAUCAACCAGAAAGUCACGGCUAACUACGUGCCAGCAGCCGCGGUAAUACGUAGGUGGCAAGCGUUGUCCGGAUUUAUUGGGCGUAAAGCGAGCGCAGGCGGAAAAAUAAGUCUAAUGUGAAAGCCUUCGGCUUAACCGAGGAACUGCAUCGGAAACUGUUUUUCUUGAGUGCAGAAGAGGAGAGUGGAACUCCAUGUGUAGCGGUGGAAUGCGUAGAUAUAUGGAAGAACACCAGUGGCGAAGGCGGCUCUCUGGUCUGCAACUGACGCUGAGGCUCGAAAGCAUGGGUAGCGAACAGGAUUAGAUACCCUGGUAGUCCAUGCCGUAAACGAUGAGUGCUAAGUGUUGGGAGGUUUCCGCCUCUCAGUGCUGCAGCUAACGCAUUAAGCACUCCGCCUGGGGAGUACGACCGCAAGGUUGAAACUCAAAGGAAUUGACGGG